UUCAAAUCGAACGCGUGUGUUUCACGUCCGUCGCCGUCGCAUUUAACAGUUUUGUAAACGGUUCGCAGUUUGCGUAAAAAUUUCGUUCUUCGUUUUGCGCGCGUGAUUUGGUUCUAGGCGCUAACGGUUAACAUUGUUGUUAUUUAUUGCUGCCUGUGACCUUUACUCAAUUAAAAUAGCAUUAUAAUAAAAUUUUCUUAGCAUAAGUUGCGGUCCGCGUGGCCAGCAGGACAAAUACCAACAACAGAAUUUUUUGUUUUUUUUUUUUGGUUCUUAGCACGUUUUUUUUGGCGCUAGAAGCGCAGUGCAAAUAAAAGAGAAAAAUAAUUUCAAGUGCAUUUGUUGCUAUUUUUGCUACACGUGAAGUGCUACACACACAUACACACGAACAUACGCACACAUGUAUGUAUGCACGUAGCGUGUAAAAGGAAAACCCAAAGAAGCAGCAAAAACAAAUUUUUGAUGUACAAGCAAAUAAGAAGAAAUACCAAGUCGAAAGAAAUUUAAAACCGGAUUCAAUACAACAACAACAAUAAUAAUAACAGCAGCCGCUACAGCCGCAGCAGCCGAUACAACAAAAACAAAUUUAGUUUUUUUUUGCUGCUGCUGCUACGCACAGCAGCGACGCCAGCGCUGACGCCUAUCCUCUCAACAUCAGCAGCAGCUGCUCUGCUGGCUGUGUGGUUUUGUUGUUGUUGCUGCUGCUGCUGUUAAAAGCGGCAGAGCAAGCGCAACAGGAGCAGCCGCGCUGAUCACUGUGCAAGAAUUAGAAACAGCACAGGCACAAGCAGCGACACAGGCAGAGGCGGCCGCGGUCCAAGCAAGAGAUCGUUGUGGAAACUCGGCAAUAUAUAUAUACAGAUAUAUAAAAGCACACGGCAUUAACAAUAGCACUAACAGUAACAACAACAGCAAUAAAGCAACAAGUCAACAAGUCAACAAGUUGCAGACGUGGCUAAUUGCAACUUCUGUUUCCGUCUCGCCAUUUGCAGGGCCCAAAAUUAAUGGUAAUUUCAUGCUGUCAUUGCGCAAAAAUCAACACGGCCCCGAAGCGCCAGCAGAACAAAGCACAAAGUCAUCACCAUCAAUGACCCCAACUAACUCGUAAAUGGUAAGUGCAAAAUUGUCUGUAAAAUGCAUUUUAAACUCACAAUCAGAAUCAGGGGCGUAGCAAUCCGCCUCCUUCACCCAUUACA